AUCGUUCAAUUCUCAUUAUUUUUUGAGAAUCGGAAGUAGGUUUAUACCGAAGGAACGCGGA
ncrna:unclassified sequences Glutamine riboswitch